UUUAAGUGCAACCAUGAGUUUCUGAGUCUAACUUUGAUCAUCCGUCUUAUUUAAAUAUUUUUAUAAUUAGUAUUUUUAUUGUUAUAAGAUGAUAAAAUAUGAAUAGUAUUUUAUGUAUGAUUUAUGUUUUCAAACUUUUUAAAAAAAAUUUAAAUAAGACGAACAAUCAAAAUUGGACAUGAAAAAAUAUGGUUGUAUUUAUU
rfam:Oryza barthii chromosome 2, whole genome shotgun sequence.